UUCAGGUUAAGAGUCAACACAAGCGACUAAUCUCGGCCCUGCUGUAUCAACAAGUAGACCCGAACAACUUUUUGAUGCACAUUCUCAACUCCUGCCUCGUCAAUAACACAUCUCUACAUUGGUCCGAGAAGGUGACCGAAUGAGUGGACUUCCAGUCGGAGCUCCUUUGGAUAUGCUGUUGCCGUUGUGGCUCAUGUAGCUGAAGCUGUCCAAGUAGUGUCCCGGCAGGGAGUCGUCUCCAAGCUCACGGAGGUCCUCUGCUCUCAGGUACUCGCUGCCGUCACCUGUCAUCGUGUCCUCACCUGCAUGGUCGUACACAUACUGGAGGCGGACUACCUCCUUCUGCCCGGCCAGCGAGGCGAUGUGGAGGGCAGUGUUUCCUUUCUGCAAGGCAUCAAAGGUUGCAAGGUAACACACAUACCUUAGUGGACGAGUCAACAGGUGCUCCUCUGUCCAACAGUUCCUCCACGAGAUCCUGGUGUCCCUCUUUGGCUGCCAAAUGCAAGGCAUUCAGUCCAUUCUGGAAGUGACUAUCAACAAAGUUGUGCAGGUCCAAAGUUGCAGUCCAGUUCUCUCCUUCCCCACAGCCUGCUGGCUCUGAAGAUCAGGCUGGCACUGGACUCUUCUGCUGCCAACACCACUUUGUCCACGCGCUCACCCGCCCAUAAAUGAAGCCACUUAAAUGCCAAGAGGGGUGUCACCUUACUGUGCCAUCUUUUCUGCAGCGUCACACAGGUGACUUUGGCACCGUCCUCACCUGGUUGCACGUGCUGAUGUCCACGCCAUUCUUCAAGAACUCCAGGACUUUAUCGAUGUUUCCAGCUCUGGCCGCCCGCAGGAAACUGGUGUUGCUGUCCGACUGGAAGGAGAGGAAGAGAUCGAGCCACACACGUUGCUGCGUUGCCCAUGUUGACCAGAUCCACACCUCAGUGCUCAGCUGGAGAACCUUGGACCAGCUAGACCAGCAGUCCUCCUGUCCAAGUAUUUCCACUUCAGUCCCAUUUCCCGGCCGCCGUCUCUGCCGCCGUGUGAGCCCAGGGUAGUCUGCGUGACAGCUGGCCUUGGCUGGGACUGGCGAGGCCUGAGAGACUCUCCAAGUACGCCAAAAGUCAUAAUAGUGCACAGGAGGUCAGGCCUGGACCAACGACUCAGGUAUCUGCGAUGAGGUGGCGACUUGUCCAGGGUGUACCCCGCCUUCCGCCCGAUUGUAGCUGAGAUAGGCUCCAGCGCCCGCCGCGACCCCGAAGGGAAUAAGCGGUAGAAAAUGGAUGGAUGGAUGGAUGGUUUAAGGAUAUUGAUUGUGAGCUGCAGCUGAGUCACAUGACCCACGCCUGAUUGGCUGAGAAGAUAUGACCAUGCACUCGGGACCACAAGGAGAUGGAUGGAUGGGUCCACUGGGUGCGGUCGGGUGGGCUUUAGUCACGAUGACGUCACACUUGAAUAUGAAAACAGGUGCAUAAAUGAUAACACCACAAAGGUUGCAGACAGUAUUGCGUUCACAGAUAUGAUCUAGACCUCAGCCCCCGUGGGACAACACCCGAGUAACAAGGUGGAGACGAGGCUGGGGGAGGUGUCCUUGAGGUCCUGAUGGAGUCUCAUGAGACGGAUGGGUGGGGGAGCAGGAGGAAAAGAAGGACCCCGCCUUGUAGCAGCCAUGUUAGUGUGUAACAAGACGUCCUUCAGGGCUGUAAACAAGGCUGUCUUCUCUCGCUGCCUUCCUGGCACAGCAACGCAUUAACUGAUUGCUUUUGCUACAUCAUCGCCCUCUUCUUUUUUAUUUUAACACCUGAGUAGUCUCCAGUACACCAAAUAUGCAAGUUCUAUGAGUACAUCCCUUCACUUCCUACAGACCACACCAGGGUUGGCUACUAAAUUUGGUACUUUUAUGGGCACUGACUGACUACCGUAUUUUUAGGACUAUAGAGUGCACACCUAGUAUAUAAGCCACACCCACUAAAUUUUAGAAGAAAAACAUAUUUCCUAUAGCCGCAGAUAUUUACGUUGUGAAAUGAGUUAUUUACACAGGAAUAUUUUGUAAAUGUUUAUUUGAAAUGAAGUAAUGACAUACAAUGUCAUAAUUGUUUGAAUUAUAGCACGUUAUAAUACGUUCCAAUUAUGAGAUAAAAAUAUCUAAGAGAUAAAAAUGUGUAAUAAUGAGACAAAAAGUCAAAAUUCUGAGAGAAAAAGUUGAAAUUAUGAGAUAAAAAGUCAAAAUUAUGAGAUAAAAAAGUCACAAUUAAAAGAAAAAUGUGUAAUUAUGAGACAGAGUCAAAAUUCUGAGAUAAAAAGUCGAAAUCAUGAGAUAAAAACUCAUAAUAAUGACAUAAAAAAAAUCGAAAAUGUGAUAUUAAAAUGUGGUAACUAUAGAAUCAAAAUUCAUAAUUACGAGUAAAAAGUCAAAAUUGUGUGAUAAAGAAUCAUCAUUAUGAGAAAAAAGUAAUUAUGAGAUGAAAGAUCGAAAUGAUGACAAAAAAUGUCAUAAUUGUGAGAUAAGUUUAAAUUAUGAGAUAGAAAGUUGAACUAUGAGAUAAAAAGUCAACAAGAUAAAAAUUCGUAAUUGUGAGACAAAAAGUCUAAAUGAUUAGAUAAAAAUAUAAUUAUGAGUGAAAAAUGUCGAAAUGAUGUGAUAAAGAAAAGAGAAAAGUAAUUAUUAGGAGAUGAAAGGUUGAAAUAAUGAGAUAAAAUGUCAUAAUUGUGAGAUAAGCCGAAAUUAUGAGAUAAAAAGUUGA